rnacentral:rRNA from 1 species
UACAGAGGUCCCAAGCGUUGUUCGGAUUCACUGGGCGUAAAGGGUGCGUAGGUGGUGGGGUAAGUCUGAUGUGAAAUCUCCGAGCUCAACUCGGAAAUGGCAUUGGAUACUACUCCGCUAGAGGAUUGGAGGGGAGACUGGAAUUCUUGGUGUAGCAGUGAAAUGCGUAGAUAUCGAGAGGAACACCAAUGGCGAAGGCGAGUCCCUGGACAACACCUGACACUGAGGCACGAAAGCUAGGGGAGCAAACAGG